UACGGGGGGAGCAAGCGUUGUUCGGAUUUACUGGGCGUAAAGGGCGCGUAGGCGGUCAGCACAAGUCAGUUGUGAAAUCUCCGGGCUUAACUCGGAAAGGUCAACUGAUACUGUGCGACUAGAGUGCAGAAGGGGCAACUGGAAUUCUCGGUGUAGCGGUGAAAUGCGUAGAUAUCAGGAGGAACACCGGUGGCGAAGGCGGGUCUCUGGGCCGUAACUGACGCUGAGGAGCGAAAGCAUGGGGAGCGAACAGG
rnacentral:rRNA from 1 species